UGCUAACAUGUAAGGGGUGAGGGGUUCGAAAAAACCCCUCCAGCUCUAUGACAGCACGGAUUUUCAAAGCGCAAAAGCUUCUACCACUCCCCUGAUGAGCUGCGUUUGACUCGUGGGUUGGCACCCAGUUUGCAUAUCAUUAGGAACGAGUGGAGACAACUGUGAGACGCUCCUUUGUGUCGCCAGAUUAGUCUGAAAAGCGCAAGUGGUGCCGUGAAAAGACAACCGCUGCAGUGACAACUGAAGGGACGAAAUGGGCUGAACAUGCGGAUGUGAGAGUUGAUGUGCUUUAAAGAGGAAAUGGAUGCCACACGAGGACCUGACUGACAUUCACAAGGGCCAAAUGUGAUGGCAAAGCAUUUGCAAAAUAGCAAGUCAUCUGGAAUAUUUAUGCAGUGGUUUCAACUGGAGUGGUUUUAAGAACCAGAAGCUCAUUUCGAAGCUAUAGCCCCAUUCUGACUAGCAGUUAGCUUGAGUAAUUUCUAACUAAUUUGUGCUUCUCCCAUUACAUACAGUCAUCAUGGGCAUGAAUACCAUGUUCACUUUGACUUUCAAUGAUGGAUUUUGAUAUUUUUAUUCCUUUCAAAGGCUGCUUUGAUGUGUUUUGCUCACACUGCUACACUUAAAAGUUGGUACAUUGUUCUUAGGUUGAGAGUAUUACUUAAACCUCUCCAAACACACUUCUUACAAUCCUUGUCUUCACCUCAUCGCAUUAAAUUUUUCUCCCAGAACAUAUUUGGAUUCCCUAUAUGGAUGGCUAACAGUUCCAGUCUAACUUGAAGGCAUCAGUUUUGAAGGAGGUGCUUUUUUUCUGGCUAGGCUCUCUUUCUGUCCAUGGCAACAUAAAAUUGGCUUCAUUGGGUUUGGUCCUUGGUCAUUUUCAGAAUACUGUUGAAAACCCUAACCCAUUUCUUUGUGGCUAAGGGCGAUAGUUUGGGUUACAUGGUUAAAACCUGGACAUUAUUUGAUGUUUUUAAAAAAUGUAUCACUUUAAGAUGUUAUUUUCCUCUAAUAAAACCACCAC